CCCGCACAAGCGGAGGAACAUGUGGUUAAUUCGAUGAUACGCGAGGAACCUUACCUGGGCUUAAAUGGGGAGUGACAGCUGUCGAAAGUAUGGUUUUCUUCGGACACUCUUCAAGGUGCUGCAUGGUUGUCGUCAGCUCGUGCCGUGAGGUGUCGGGUUAAGUCCCAUAACGAGCGCAACCCUUACCGUUAGUUACCAUCAGGUUAAGCUGGGGACUCUAGCGGGACUGCCACCGUAAGGUGAGAGGAAGUGGGGAUGACGUCAAAUCAGCACGGCCCUUAUGUCCAGGGCUACACACGUGUUACAAUGGCCGGUACAAAGGGCAGCUACUUCGCGAGAAGAUGCUAAUCUCGAAAGCCGGUCUCAGUUCGGAUCGAAGUCUGCAACCCGACUUCGUGAAGCUGGAUUCGCUAGUAAUCGCGCAUCAGCCAUGGCGCGGUGAAUACGUUCCCGGGCCUU
rnacentral:rRNA from 1 species